UACGGAAGGCAGCAGUGGGGAAUAUUGCACAAUGGGCGCAAGCCUGAUGCAGCCAUGCCGCGUGUAUGAAGAAGGCCUUCGGGUUGUAAAGUACUUUCAGUCGUGAGGAAGGUGUUAAGGUUAAUAACCUUAGCAAUUGACGUUAGCGACAGAAGAAGCACCGGCUAACUCCGUGCCAGCAGCCGCGGUAAUACGGAGGGUGCGAGCGUUAAUCGGAAUUACUGGGCGUUAAAGGGCACGCAGGCGGUUAAUUAAGUUGGAUGUGAAAUCCCCGGGCUUAACCUGGGAAUGGCAUUCAAGACUGGUUAGCUAGAGUCUUGUAGAGGGGGUAGAAUUCCAUGUGUAGCGGUGAAAUGCGUAGAGAUGUGGAGGAAUACCGGUGGCGAAGGCGGCCCCUGGACAAAGACUGACGCUCAUGUGCGAAAGCGUGGGGAGCAAACAGGGAUUAGAUACC
rnacentral:rRNA from 1 species